UCAAGACGAAAAAAAGGAUAUUGUGCAUUUAUUUUGUGCAAACAACCCAUUUUUGUAACUUUUUAAAUCAGUGGCAUAGAUUGGUUCCUUUUUAAAUAUGGUGGCAUAUUUAGGUUCCGCAUUCUCUUGAUUGCGCAAAUGACAUCUUCGUCACCUAUGAUCUUGUGUAUUCGUUGCUCCAUAGCUUCCGUCAGACUCUAUGAUAUCAUCCAUAUGUACAAAUCCCUCCUAAUGUACUACAAGCUAACCGUGGUUGUAUCACUUCUUUCGUAAUAUUUUAAUGUUGGACUAUUGUCAAUUACAA
rnacentral:lncRNA from 1 species